rnacentral:lncRNA from 1 species
GUAAGAGAUAGGGUUCCUCAGCUAGAAGAACCCUUUAUAUAGUGGGGGGAAUCAGACCGUUUUCCCACUCUCUGCCCGAGCUCCAGCGGUACUACCGCUGCGUGCAGCUGUACUACCGCUGGCACUCCAGCGGUACUACCGUUGAACAGGGGCGGUACUACCGCCGCAUGGCGGUACUACCGCUGGGACUCCAGCGGUACUACCGCUGGGA